rnacentral:rRNA from 1 species
AUGAGUGGCGAACGGGUGAGUAACGCGUGGGUAACCUGCCCUGUACUUUGGGAUAAGCCCUGGAAACGGGGUCUAAUACCGAAUAUGACCUUGCGCCGCAUGGUGUAGGGUGGAAAGUUUCGGCGGUACAGGAUGGGCCCGCGGCCUAUCAGCUUGUUGGUGGGNUAGUGGCCUACCAAGGCGACGACGGGUAGCCGGCCUGAGAGGGUGACCGGCCACACUGGGACUGAGACACGGCCCAGACUCCUACGGGAGGCAGCAGUGGGGAAUAUUGCACAAUGGGCGGAAGCCUGAUGCAGCGACGCCGCGUGAGGGAUGACGGCCUUCGGGUUGUAAACCUCUUUCGCCAGGGACGAAGCGUAAGUGACGGUACCUGGAGAAGAAGCACCGGCUAACUACGUGCCAGCAGCCGCGGUAAUACGUAGGGUGCAAGCGUUGUCCGGAAUUAUUGGGCGUAAAGAGCUCGUAGGCGGCUUGUCGCGUCUGCUGUGAAAAUCCGGGGCUUAACUCCGGACCUGCAGUGGAUACGGGCAGGCUUGAGUUCGGUAGGGGAGACUGGAAUUCCUGGUGUAGCGGUGAAAUGCGCAGAUAUCAGGAGGAACACCGGUGGCGAAGGCGGGUCUCUGGGCCGAUACUGACGCUGA